AGACCAGGGAGGCUUGGACCCCAGGCUGGAGGGGGCCGGGGACCCAGACCCACUCACUUGAUUUGGAAGGACACAGGGCUGUCAAACCUAUGCAGGGUCAUCACACCCGGCCCUUCGUUUGUCCCUUUUCGGCCAAGCUCAGGACCCUGUAACCCAGGAAGACAAGCUCGUGGUUCUGAGAUGACCCAGGGAAUUGGCCAAUCCCACCCGAAACCCUUGUUCCUUCCUCUGGUCAUUGACGUUCCUCCCAGACGGCUUCGAGAGCCCCGCAGAUCCUUCCACUACUCCCCAGCCUAGAAGAUCCAGAUUUCAUUUCUGAUUGCGGAAUUUUACUCUCAAACCAAAAGAUGCUACAUGCCGCUCCUGACGCCGUGGCACGGAAUCACGCUGCGCGUCCCUUGUUUCCGGAUUUCUCUUCUGUGGCUUAUUGAUGGCACUCAAGCACCGCACAGCAAUGACGUCUGUCCUGGCAGGGCACACGCACUCUGCGUCUGAAUGAGUAUUGAGCUAAUUCCAAAGCCCAGCAGAGACGUGGGCGCGCGUUUAUCUGGAGGAGACCAGGCGCGCCAUGGUUGGCUCUGGCCGCGGGACCCUGGGCUGAGCACCGACCCAGGCCACCCCAAGUCACCAAAA
ensembl:lncRNA LINC00029 long intergenic non-protein coding RNA 29